UUUGACAUACUAGGUGGUUAGUAACUACUGACUGUCUCCAGGUUACAACACAGUUAUUACCCACUUGGGUGAAAAGAGAAGACAGGAAAUACAUUUUGGAGUUGGCUGGCAACCUGUUUACAAAGCAAUUUACAACAGUUCCUUAUUCUUAAGGGGCUAUUCUAAUACAAGACCUCAGAGAAACAGUGCAGUGUGACAAAGGAGGAAUUUAUCAAAGGAGACAGAAAAAGCAUCAAGGCAAGCUGUGAAAUGGUGCGGUAGGAACCAAAUAGAGAGCCAAAGGAUCUUUCUGUCACUGCAGGCCCUUAGGGGUAAGCAAAUCCUUCCCUGAUCCCUGGUCUCCUUAUCUGUAAAUGAGAAUACCAGCACCCACCUCACUGUGCUGUAAACAUGAUGAGUUCUAACAAUAAUUUAUAAAUUGUAAAAUCACACAAA
rnacentral:lncRNA from 10 species